GAUGAACGCUGGCGGCGUGCCUAAUACAUGCAAGUCGAGCGAACAGACGAGGAGCUUGCUCCUCUGACGUUAGCGGCGGACGGGUGAGUAACACGUGGAUAACCUACCUAUAAGACUGGGAUAACUUCGGGAAACCGGAGCUAAUACCGGAUAAUAUAUUGAACCGCAUGGUUCAAUAGUGAAAGACGGUUUUGCUGUCACUUAUAGAUGGAUCCGCGCCGCAUUAGCUAGUUGGUAAGGUAACGGCUUACCAAGGCAACGAUGCGUAGCCGACCUGAGAGGGGGAUCGGGCAACCUUGAACUGAGACACGGGCCCGACCCCCACGGGGGGGCGGAGUAGGGAAUCUUUCGCAAUGGGGGGAAGCCUGACGGAGCCACGGCGCGUGAGUGAUGAAGGGCUUCGGAUUGUAAAACUCUUUUUUUAGGGAAGAAAAAAUGUGUAAAGAAAUGUUGACAUCUUGACGGUACCUAAUGAAAAAGCCCCGGCUUACUUCGGG
rnacentral:rRNA from 1 species